CCUACGGGUUGCAGCAGUGGGGAAUCUUGGACAAUGGGCGAAAGCCCGAACCAGCAAUAUCGCGUGAGUGAAGAAGGGCAAUGCCGCUUGUAAAGCUCUUUCGUCGAGUGCGCGAUCAUGACGGGACUCGAGGAAGAAGCCCCGGCUAACACCGUGCCAGCUGCCGCGGUAAGACGGGGGGGGCAAGUGUUCUUCGGAAUGACUGGGCGUAAAGGGCACGUAGGCGGAGAAUCGGGUUGAAAGGGAAAGUCGCCAAAAACUGGCGGAAGACUCUCGAAACCAAUUCACUUGAGUGAGACAGAGGAGAGUGGAAUUUCGUGUGUAGGGGUGAAAUCCGGAGAUCUACGAAGGAACGCCAAAAGCGAAGGCAGCUCUCUGGGUCCCUACCGGCGCUGGAGUGCGAAAGCAUGGGGAGCGAACGGGAUUAGAUACCCUCGUAGUC
rnacentral:rRNA from 1 species